GAGGGUGUAGCUCAGUGGUAGAGCGCAUGCUCAGCAUGCACAAGGUCCUGGGUUCAAUCCCCAGCACUUCCA
rnacentral:tRNA from 1 species